UAUUCCCCAUUUAUGAAAACCCCCUCUUCAUCUCACCGCUCUCUUCAUUUUUUUCAUUUUCUGAAAACCCUAUUCCCUUUUCUUCACCCUAAUUUUUCGUCACUCGAUUCACCUAAUUUCUAUGAUUGUGGGCUGCUGAGCAGGAGUUGUCAAGUUAUCGUCUCUGUUUCCUCAGUCAGUCAGAUUAUCUGCUCAUCUUACUCUUCAUUCUAUGGAUCUUGUUACUGUAGACCAUGGAUUUUCUCUCCAUUUUUGCUUUCUGUCACCUUCUUUUUCUAAUAACUUCAUCUGUUAAGUGUUUCCUUUCUCCCCUUUUCUGAAAACCCUAAUCCUCUUUCUACGUUUUCAGAUUCUAACUUCAUUUCACUGCAUUUCGUGCAAGAGUUAGUUGGAGCAUCACAAGACUUUUGCUUUUGGCCUUCAUAAACCACAAGAGUUUUCACCAUUUUCGACCGUCGGCAAGGUGGAGGGUCCUGAAUAUGUGCAAAUGAGGGUGGGAUGACACAAACUAUCUCAUCCAUUGUUUGGUAAAGACUCGGUGAAGAAAGUGCAAAUUGAGUUGUUAGUGGUAUAUGCAAACCAGUUGCUUGAAAAGGAGCAAUCUGGCUGCCAUGCCUCGCACAGAGAUGACAAGGUGGAUGAUCUCUCCAGAAUAUAUAGACUCUACCAUAAAAUACCUCAAGGCUUGGAACCUGUUUUUAGUAUAUUUAUAUAGUGUGUUACUAAUGAGGGUCUUCCCUUAGUCAAUCAGGCUAUAGAUGCUGCAAACAACCAGGUUCAGUAUCUUGAACCAUCUUUCUUCAACCCAGUAAAUUUUGCAUGCACUUAUCUCAAAAUAUUGUUGUAAUUUUUUUAAUUUGAAUUUUAUAAGCACAGAUUAUUCUUGUGUGGAUGUCGAUGAAUACAUUUUGCUUUUGACAUUUGGUGUUAAGGUGAAGAUCAUACAUAAAUGUUCAAGGAUUUUAAUUUUAUUCUUUAUGUGAUGUAAGGAAAAAUUUCAACUAAUUUAAAUCAAAUCGAGGAGUAUUAGGUUGAAAUUGAGAACAUAAAAUUUAAUUUUAUUCCCAGGUCAAUUAACUUCUGCUCAACUUUGUAUAGCUACUUCUUCAAUUCCUACCUCUUAUUCUUUCUUUUACUCUAACCAUGUUUAGCAUCUAUUGAUUUGAAUACCGAUUCUUUAAUUAUUAUGUGUUGGGAGGUUUUUUUCGCUUCUGGACAAUUCUUCUGGAAAAUGCCUUAGGCACAAUGUACUGAAUUAUGAGUUUCAUCCCUUGGAAGUUUGUUGUCCAUUUUUUAUUACUCAUCGCUCAUUGAUGUUUUGGCUUAUGUGUGGCUCGUGCAUGUCACCAAUGCUAGUUAGGUUUUUAGUCUGGCUAAUUAGGACUGAUUUUUUGGGCACAUCAAAGAUUUGCCUACAAACAUAAGUUGCAUCAUUUUCUAUUGCUUUCAUUUCUCAUUGUUGUGAUGAAUUAGGAAAACGUAAUGUAGGAGCAUGUGUCGUAAAGCUGUUGGGUUUCAAAAUAUGACUUGUUUUUAGCUUGUUUAUAUAAGAUAGGUGAGCUGUUCCUCAAGUCUACCCUACUCCAUUCUAAACCAGUGCUGGUUCCAAACAGCCAUCGUCGAUUUGGUUGGUCAGGUUCAGGUUCUGUCAACAACAUUUGAAACUUCUGAAAAUGAGGUUUGGAUGGUGGAAUUUUCUGGUUUAUUGAUUUGUCAUGAAUUUGGGAUUUCAAUAGAUGGUAAGUAGGAGAAGUUAACAAUGGCCAUACUUGGGGAAUUCAUGUAGAUGAUUUGACUUGUUUAAACAUGAGAAAUUCUGCCUUUCCAAGAAUCAAUUACAGCUUGUUACAUAAAAUUUUCAAGUCUACCAAUAGUUCAUUUCCCAGAUAAUUGGUUUAAAAGUAUUUGGAUUUGUUGCAAAGCUUCAAAAGGUACAUGACAUUCAAAAAGGAUUACAAUGAACAACUCCUGUAUCUCCCAACAGGGCUUGCUUGCUGCUGCACCUUGAAGAAAUCUUAUAUAGGUCAAGUUCAGGAAUUACCCAUAUUGAUGUGAAAGUGGAGGAGUUGCAAAGCAAGAAAUCGAAGGGAAUGGAGGAAAUCUUUUCAGAAAUGAAAAAUAGGAAGGAAAUCUUGAAAAAAUCACCUAUUUAUUGGGGAAAAAAAAAAGUGUGUAGACCCCCUUUGGUGGAGAGGACCUGGGGGGAGUGGAUUUUUUCUUGGCUUUGGAUUACAUUUUGAGAUAGGGUAGGGGACCCCCAGCUGAGAGCAGGAUGCCGUCUGCAUGAGGCGUGCAGCUGAAGGAGGGUGGUUAGGAGGCCAUGCUGCUGAGGUGAUGAACAGCAAAAGGGAGGUAAUGGCUUGCCCAAGAAGAUAGCACCGGCUGCCAGAAAAAGGGAAAAAGAAAGAAAAAAAUGGGGGAGCCAGAAGCAAGAGGGCGGAGGGAUUUUCAUGAAGAAAACUUAGAGUCUUGAGGGCUUUUGCUGGAGAGAUACUUCCACAGUUGUAUGAGCUCCAAGGAGUAGAAACUUCCUUUCUCCGCGCAUGGGCACGUGCCUUCUGCUUUGGUUCACAUCAGCACCUCGAGUUCAUCCACCCUUGUUCAUGGGAGCCAUGCAAACAUGACUACCUUUUCCAUACCCACUUCCUAUUAAACCAUACAACUUAAUAUCCUUGAUGUUAUGCCCUCCAUCUGGUUCCCAUUCUCCAUGAACUCAGGUCACCUUCCCAAAACCUCGCCACUCAUCUCACCCAUCUUCCCCAUCACCUUUUCUCCCUCUAACUGUCAUACCCAUCUUCACAAGGACUCCCAAAGCCGCCUUUCUGCACGCAUGGGGUCCAAACAUGCAAGCUGCCUCCACCCUCUUCCUCCUCAUAUCUGCCAUCACUCCCGCCGUCUUCAUCAGAGGCGCGUUUGUUAGAGGCCUGGAGAGCUUCACAACCUUCCAUGCAUGCGUGCUGCCCUUCCCCGCUCCUUCUCGCUGCGUGUACCGCGUCGGCGAGGCGCUUGCUCACCUCACCAACCACCACCACCCGCCCCGGCCAGGCGAGCACUCGCACCAGCCACCUUGACGGCUGCACCUUUUGGUUGCCGUUGAACCGCCGCCACGGCUCCUCUCUCCAUCUUGCUGCCGGUGGUGAAGGCUCUCUCUGAGGAUGAUGUUGCGUUUAGAGGGGUAAGCUGUGAAGAAGAUGAAUAUUGGGCUUGAGUUUAGAAGUCCAGCCCAGGCAUAUAAAUGGAUGGCUUGUGAAGAAGUGGGCUGUGAUGGAGUAUGUAUUGGUGAUGGGUUUAGGCUUGCCC